rnacentral:rRNA from 1 species
GCUUUUACGCCCAAAUUACGUAGAGUCAAGCUGCUCAGUGAUUCACUUUAAACAGCCGCGGUACCCUGACCGUGCAAAGGUAGCACAAUAAAUCGCCCCCUAAUUAGGGGCAUGUAUCAACGGCGACACGAAAGUGGGGCUGUCUCGGGGGUGUUAUAUUGAAACUGACUUACGGGUGAACGGGCCCGUAUACAGCCAACAGACGACAAGACCCCGUCGAACUUUAGAGAAAAAGCUGUAUCUCUAAAAGUAUAAGCCCCCUCUCUUUGGUUGGGGCAACCAAGGACCAAACAAACCGUCCUUUCUUCAAGAAUCCAACAAACAAAAAAAUGAGUGUAAGACACUUAUAGAGGGCCCCUAACCCUCGGAUACCUUCAAUAAAGUAGCAUUAAAGCUCGACUAAUAAUUACUGCUCGCCUAAAACAACAGGCCCACAGGCCUGUCUUUGUCUUAAGAUCUUCAAUAGAUCUGGGGGACACUCCCUGUCUUAGGGGAAAAGUUACCGCGGGGGUAACAGCGCGAUUCUUCCUACCAGAACACAUGAACGGAAGAGUGAGCGACCUCGAUGUUGGACCAGGGGAACCUGGAAGUAGUAUCAGCUUUCAGUGGUUGGUCUGUUCGACCAUUAAAACCCUCCGC